rfam:Nematostella vectensis strain CH2 x CH6 NEMVEscaffold_3_Cont613, whole genome shotgun sequence.
GCAGAUGAUGAGACAGAAUACAUGAAUAGGAAUUGCCGUCAGAUCGACAAAUGACGAAACAUAGUCUCUGAUG